rnacentral:rRNA from 1 species
CAAACCAAAAGACUGGCGACCGGCGCACGGGUGAGUAACGCGUAUCCAACCUGCCUCAUACUCGGGGAUAGCCUUUCGAAAGAAAGAUUAAUAUCCGAUAGCAUAUAUUUCCCGCAUGGGUUUUAUAUUAAAGAAAUUCGGUAUGAGAUGGGGAUGCGUUCCAUUAGUUUGUUGGGGGGGUAACGGCCCACCAAGACUACGAUGGAUAGGGGUUCUGAGAGGAAGGUCCCCCACAUUGGAACUGAGACACGGUCCAA